UAAGAUUUAGUCUUCUCCACCGACGGAUGGAGUUAAGAUUUAGUCUUCUAUAUGGAAGGCUGGAGAUGACAUAUCCCACCUCGUUCUUAUCAGCUAUAUCCUCGUCAUUUUUCAUUUCUCAUUAUUCCCUUUUCAGAGAACAAACCAAAACCUAGCGUCUUCUCUCGCAAAAAAUUUCCCCCCCACCAUGAUUCGAUGUCAAUCUUUGCAUCAUUUACUUCGAUCUGUAACCACUUUUUUCGAUCUAUAAGUAUUUUCUUUCUUUAAUCUCAACUGUGAGCCAUUUUUUCCUUGAAUUUUAAACUGUACCUUUUUAUAUUUCGCCUUGUAACGGUAGAAAAAAGAUGGAAACCCGUUUUCUUUCAUCAUCAGCAAAGAAGAGUAAAACAGAAAUCAACCGUGAAGACGUUUUGAAUCCCCUUUUGUUUCAUCAUUAUCGGUGGAUUUUUCUGUGUUUUGCAGUCAAGCAUAUCGGUAAUGAUAUGUCGGAUGUGGCUGCGGAGAGAAGGUGCACGAAGCUGGUUGAGAAAUUGCAUAUGUUGAGCAGUAUUAGUUGCAUAGAUGGUCUAAAUGUAUGAUUGUUAUGGUUUCAUUUGACAUUAUCUAAAAUGUCUGGUUGUGGUAUUAGAUCCAAGUAACCACGGAGUGAUGCAUUUUUUCAAGAUUAUAUUUGAGGCAAGUAGAGAGACGAACAUGUCGGUCUCUGGUUUGUGAGGCGGCUUCAGCGAAAAAAAACAGAGAAAAUACGGUGGUGACGGAUCAGAAACAAUUGAUGGCCCAAGAGGUGGAGCACCAGGACUGUCUGAAGAAGAUAAGGGUGGUGCUCCAGCAGAGUAUCAUCCACAAUUUAAGGGUGCCAUGGAGACCGAGAUCCAUCUAUUUGUCUCUGUAAUGGUGUGCAUUUGCAUGAGGAAUCUCCUCAAUCAGGUGUAAUUAUGAAGAUGGUGACGGAUCAGCAACAUUUGAUGGCUCAAGAGGUGGAGCACCAGGACAGUCUGGAGAAGAUAAGGGUGGUGCUCCAGCAGAGUAUCAUCCACGGUUUUAUUUGAUUCUCUACAAGCUUCAUUAGGUGCAGUAAGAUUUCUGAGUUGUAUGUAUUAGUUAGAAAUUUAGAAUUUUGUAAGUGAGGUGUGGGGUAAUUCAGAAAGUUUAAAGUGUUUUCACCAACUUGAUGAGUUUUUUUAAUGAUGUCUUGUUAGCAUGGUUUUUAAAACCGUACUA